CUUUCUAGCCUUGACUGCAUUCUAACUGCUCAGAUGCAGUGCCCAGCCAACCCAUUAUCUCGUGGCUUCUGUCAAGUUCCUGAUUUUUCUUCUCUUCUUGAAGAUGAGGAAGAACUCGGCUUAAGUGUCCUCUGGAACCUACACUGAGACAUAUUCCAACAUGAGUGUAGUCUGACGUGCACUACAGGAGCCAUAAGCAGGUAAGGAGAUUCUUCAUGAAAUAACCUGGGUGUGUGGAUGGAAGGGUUAGGUCUGAACUGGGUUACACUGGGCAAUCUUCAUGUUUUACCAGUAGAGUCAGUUUGUGUUUAAAAAUGGCAAUUGUUUGGCACGUUAAGUAUUUGUCGAUGGCAAUUUGGGGGUCCAAACCUUAAGUGCUCUAAUUGAUUAUUUGGGGCUCCCAGCUGGGUUUAACGUGUCUGUAGUAAUUCAAAAGAAACUUUCACAAGUGUCCAUCUUGGACAUUUCUACCGUGUGAAAGGACACAGAGAUGGUUCUCAAAAGUAAGUUCACUGCCGUAUUUCUUCUUUCAAAAUUUCUCAUUACGUACGAAUAGUUUCUCCUUUUCUGCCACUGCACACAUACACAUAUAACAAAACUGUGUCUGUUUGAACGCAUAGUUACACAGAGAGGAGCUUUUAGCUUGGUCUUGCUGGGAAAGUUAAUCCUAAUUGCAUCUAAUAAAAUUUGUAUUUAUUCUUAAGGAAGCUUAAAAACCAUAUAUCUUCAUAUCCUAUACAUAGCAAAAAUUUACAUUCAUUAGAAACUUAGUUUAUAAAUAAUCAGUUAAACUCCUUAAAAUGCUUGAACUAGUUUCAAUUCAACACGUAGGGCGGAGCAUGGAUCUAGUGUCAGUGCACUCAGUGAGCCCAUGCAAGCCACCUAGAUUGUUUUGUUUACUGCUGAGUUUUUGGAAGGUUUUUUUUUUUUUUUCUUUUUUUUGGUUGGUUGGUUGGUUGGUUGGUUUUUGCUUGUUUUGUUUUAGGAAAUUUAAUCCUAUGGAGGAAAUAAGAGUAAAAAAAAACAACUUACACGUUUAUCUUUUUUUAAAUAUACAAAAUCAAAAAUACAUUUCAAGACUAAAUCAUCUAAAUCCUAACUUGAAAUAUCAAAGUAACAUUUUAAGUUCUAUAAACACAUAAAACCUUAUACUUUAAUAAAACUUAUAAAUACAUACAAGCACACGUGUACAGUUUCACAUGUGUAGAUGUACAUAUAGCACACAUGGUUAUACCUGUUAAACCCAAAGAAGAAGAGAGGAAACACCAAGCUGCUCAGAGCUUCAGUCAGGGGAAUCGGGCAGCCUGUGGGAAGUGAGCUACCAUUUGCUGCCCUGUAGCAGCAGCAAGAGGAGGAAGCAGGACCCGAAGCCCUGAGCGGCUACCUGAAGGCAACAGAGCUGACCCUAUCAGGAUCUAAAUCCCCUGCAUGCUAUGAGGCCGGCCCUGCCGCUGGUGCCCACAGACAAACGAUUUCAAUCUGCUUUACCCUGCGAUGGCUUCACUUGCUUCCUGUUCUGCCUCAUAAUCUACCAGUUAUCCACGGGUCACCACGCCCUCCCACGCUCCUCCAUCCACCCUUAGUCAUGUAUUUUUAGGAUGUUUUGUUUUUUUCACUAAAUUAUCACUGACAACUUUCAAAAAAAUUAUCAUCAUAGCGAGGACACAGUAGUAAGGAGAAACAUCUCUCAAAGUAGUCGUAAAAAGGGACAAAUAGUUAAUGUUAGUACCACAAGGUACUAAGUACUAGGUACUAAGUAACAUCCUGAGUACCUGAUCCACCAAGCUCCCUAAACCUCAUGCCGGUUUUCAAUGCCACAAAGCAUUAAUCCAGAUAAUAUCUGUGAAGUCAUUAACAGCCUAAUAUAUGAAGGAAGUAUAAAGUAAAUGAGGGAUAACACUCCUGUUUUCAAUGUUCUCAUAGAGAUCAGGAUCAUUGGGAAAACGACCAUUAUACAACAGAUCAUUAGAACACAUAGCCCAUGGGUCGGCAUGUCAUCCCACCUAGCGAUUAAUGGUAAUACCUCUACAGGAUUUUCAGUUCUUUUUAAUAUUCAUGUACAAGGCAAUCCCUGAUGAAGCUGGAAUAGGUGAUUUGAGAUUCACUUACUCACGAGUUAUACUGACAUUUGCAUGUGUGGCCUACUAAUAGGUUGCCUAGAAGGUUGUCAUUCAAUCUACCCUACCUGGUAAAUAAACAAAUGCUUAAAAAACAAGUACCCAGCCCCUCUCCACGUACUGCAUUAGCUCUGGGGUAAUUAAGCUCUGCACUAGUCUUUAGCACAAGACAGUGGGUGAGGAAGGAAAAGAUCAUUGGACAAGAUACUUCCUAUGGUUCAAGAUGCUUCUUGAACUCAACUUGCUGAAUACAAUAGCAAAGAUGGUUUGGAGACAAUGUUCACUCUAGUAGAUGCUUUUAGAAUGAACUUAGUUGUUGAGGCUUCUCUAAGCCUAAAUCUCUGAUAAUUCAGAAGUC
rnacentral:lncRNA from 1 species